AGGAUGAUUAAGGGCAUCUAAAUAUGCUGUGGGUUGCAAUUAUAAUCAAGGACUACUCUUUCAACCACUGUCUGCAAGCAACUGAAGACAGAUACCUGAAAUGGGGUCAUGAUCAAAUUUAUUCGCCCUGAAGAUCUCAUGCUGAUCCAUAAUCUCAGGCAACAUAAACAAAUUCAUGUGUGUUUUUCAUUGUACCAUUCAGUGUUUUUGUUCAUGAAUGUGCUUGUUUGCAUAAUAUCUACCACAUUUCAUUGUACCAUUCAGGCAACAUACACAUUUUAAUUCAUUUUUAUAUAUAAUAUAAUAAAUUUGAUUUUC